rnacentral:lncRNA from 10 species
GGGAGCAAGACAAAGACUCUGUCUUUGGGUCCUUCUGUGAUCAUCUCCCCCUAACUGUGGAUUCGACCAGUGACUUGUUUCUAAGGAAUAGAAUAUGUUGAUCACUGGAAUGGUUGUAAACAUCUUCAUUCAUCUGGUUUUGAUAUAGAAGGAGGAUGACACUUCUCAAAUGCAUCAACAACGGAGAAAGAAUAAUUCACAAACUACUUAUCACAAGGUAAACCCACGAUCAUUUUUCUUCUACUGAGCAAAGAACACCUAAGAGACAGGAGA